rnacentral:rRNA from 1 species
GUGAGGAAUAUUGGACAAUGGCCGAGAGGCUGAUCCAGCCAUGCCGCGUGCGGGAAGACGGCCCUAUGGGUUGUAAACCGCUUUUGUUGGGGAGCAAUAAGGUCCACGUGUGGAUCGAUGAGAGUACCCAGCGAAUAAGCAUCGGCUAACUCCGUGCCAGCAGCCGCGGUAAUACGGAGGAUGCAAGCGUUAUCCGGAUUUAUUGGGUUUAAAGGGUGCGUAGGCGGAUUUUUAAGCGUGAGGUGAAAUGCCCGGGCUCAACCUGGGAACUGCCUCGCGAACUGGAAGUCUUGAAUGUCCGUGCCGUGGGAGGAAUGUGUGGUGUAGCGGUGAAAUGCAUAGAGAUCACACAGAACACCGAUUGCGAAGGCAUCUCACGAACGGAUGAUUGACGCUGAGGCACGAAAGCGUGGGGAUCAAACAGG